ACGGGUGAGUAAUGCCUAGGAAUCUGCCUGGUAGUGGGGGAUAACGUUCGGAAACGGACGCUAAUACCGCAUACGUCCUACGGGAGAAAGCAGGGGACCUUCGGGCCUUGCGCUAUCAGAUGAGCCUAGGUCGGAUUAGCUAGUUGGUGAGGUAAUGGCUCACCAAGGCGACGAUCCGUAACUGGUCUGAGAGGAUGAUCAGUCACACUGGAACUGAGACACGGUCCAGACUCCUACGGGAGGCAGCAGUGGGGAAUAUUGGACAAUGGGCGAAAGCCUGAUCCAGCCAUGCCGCGUGUGUGAAGAAGGUCUUCGGAUUGUAAAACACUUUAAGUUGGGAGGAAGGGCAUUAACCUAAUACGUUAGUGUUUUGACGUUACCGACAGAAUAAGCACCGGCUAACUCUGUGCCAGCAGCCGCGGUAAUACAGAGGGUGCAAGCGUUAAUCGGAAUUACUGGGCGUAAAGCGCGCGUAGGUGGUUUGUUAAGUUGGAUGUGAAAUCCCCGGGCUCAACCUGGGAACUGCAUUCAAAACUGACUGACUAGAGUAUGGUAGAGGGUGGUGGAAUUUCCUGUGUAGCGGUG
rnacentral:rRNA from 1 species